AUACUACCUGGCAGGGAGAUACCAAAAUCACGAAGGUGGUGUUCUUAGGGCAAGGCUUGUCCAUUGCACUCCGGAUGUGCUGACCCUUGCAAUUUCUCCAAAUGCGGAAAACUUGAAUGAAUAAUUUGUGGUGGUGGGGACUGCAUUCGAGGUCUCCCCU